AAGGAGCAUUCUCCAUGCCGGCUCGAAGAGUCGAGUACCGGUUGUGGCAGAGCCAUUUCGGAAGCGAAUGUUUUCCGAUGGUUGCUCAUGGGUGGAACGCUGACAAUCUCCAUCACGUACGGCUGAGGCUCUGUUCUCGGUGCUGGUGGAUAUAUCAACACACUGUUGGGUCCUGAAAGAACAGGCGUUCUUUCCAGGCAAUAAACAUGAUCCGCUCGGAUCUCCGUUCAUACCGCGGGAGCUUCUUCGGGAGUUGCCGGCUGGUGCGGGUGAAAGUUUCGGGUGGGUGUGUUGUUUGAGAACUGCACAGUGGACGCGAGCAUCUUUGUUUU
rnacentral:misc_RNA from 1 species